rnacentral:rRNA from 1 species
AUUGAACGCUGGCGGCAUGCCUUACACAUGCAAGUCGAACGGCAGCGGGGGAGAAGCUUGCUUUUCCUGCCGGCGAGUGGCGAACGGGUGAGUGAUACAUCGGAACGUGCCCUGUAGUGGGGAUAACUAGUCGAAAGGUUAGCUAAUACCGCAUACGACCUGAGGGUGAAAGUGGGGGACCGCAAGGCCGCAUGCUAUAGGAGCGGCCGAUGUCUGAGUAGCUAGUUGGUGGGGUAAAGGCGUCCCAAGGCGACGAUCAGUAGCUGGUCUGAGAGGACGAUCAGCCACACUGGGACUGAGACACGGCCCAGACUCCUACGGGAGGCAGCAGUGGGGAAUUUUGGACAAUGGGCGAAAGCCUGAUCCAGCAAUGCCGCGUGUGUGAAGAAGGCCUUCGGGUUGUAAAGCACUUUUGUCCGGAAAGAAAUGGCUCUGGUUAAUACCUGGGGUCGAUGACGGUACCGGAAGAAUAAGGACCGGCUAACUACGUGCCAGCCGCCGCCGUAA